rnacentral:rRNA from 1 species
UGGCGACGGGUGAGUAACGCGUGGGUAACCUGCCUCAUACAGGGGGAUAACAGUUAGAAAUGACUGCUAAUACCGCAUAAGACCACGGCACCGCAUGGUGCAGGGGUAAAAACUCCGGUGGUAUGAGAUGGACCCGCGUCUGAUUAGGUAGUUGGUGGGGUAACGGCCUACCAAGCCGACGAUCAGUAGCCGACCUGAGAGGGUGACCGGCCACAUUGGGACUGAGACACGGCCCAA